AGUUGAUCCAGCGAAUUUGUUUUCCCUUCGGUCUCUACAAUGAAGUCUCUUUUCGCCCUAACCCUGCUCCUGAUGGUACUCAUGGCUUGCUUCAGCCCCAUCAUCGCGAAACCGGGACACCAGACAUCAUCGGCUAACAUUAGAAAGGCCAAAACGGGUGGCGCAGCAGCCCAUCAGGCAGCGAAGGCGACUCGCGAACAACGCCGAAUUACCGGGGUCGAUAAGGGGAAAUGAUGAUGGCACAAGGAUAAGGAAGACCUGUAACAAAAACAAAUUAAUUUCGAACUAUAGCCCAAUCGAUGAUAUUCGAAAAAGUAUUUCGGGCUGUUGCUCUAAAAAUGUGAUCAUGUUUGAUAAAUAAUCUACAGUCCAAUCAGAUAAACCGAAACAAUCUUAUUACGAAAUACGUUUCACUAAAUUGAAACAGUGUUGAAAUAAAUAUUUCAGGCUCACUACAUAUUUCUCACAUGCACGUGAAUUGUUACGAAUUGAAAGUGAAAAUGUAUUCUACAUAAUUUUUUAUGACAA